CAUUGCCAGCCCUGAUUACCCAUCUGUUAGUACAACUGGCUCUGCCUCCUUCCCUCACAUUUCUUGUGCUGUAAAAAAACUGCAAACAGCUAGCUGGAGCUUCACUGAUACCGGUUAUAGCUAACUUUAAGCUCGUAUAAUUACCAGGUCCUCUAAAAGUGGAUAGAACGUUAGUCUAUAAAAGGGAUUUUGCAUCACACUGUAGGGAUCCAACUCGGUCUUAGGAAACA